CUAUAUUUAAUAAAAAAAUAGUUAGCUCAAAGAAUAAAUUACACAUCCCUAUACAAUUACAUGUGUAAUAAACACAAAACGACAUAACAUAUAACAAAUAAUAACAUAUAGAAUAUUUCACUUCCAUAUAUAUUAUAAUUACCUUGCCUCCUACAGUGUUCCAUUGCUCCCACCUAAACCACAAAUUCGAGAUAAUCAUGCAAAUAUGUUAUGUACCACAGCUUGGAGCUCAAAAUCAUGAAAUGCCACUGAAAUUUUCCACUUUGUUUUAUAGAACAACCAUUACUUUGGCUGCUGACGUUUGAUCUGACGAUUCUGCAGGCAGGGUGUCUAGUUGCUGUCAAAAUCCCCAAAUCCGGACAUUGCUAGUCCAUCUUGCCAGGUUGUUGCCCCGAGGUUAUCGCUCUCCAUUUAUCGAGUUGUGUCAUCGUUAUCGAGUUCGUCGGUACGUGUGACCCACAAGCUAAUUGACUUGGCCUAAUCUAUUGCCAUGGCCUUGAUGUUAUGGGCGUGCAUGAGCACUACUGGGGACACCAUAUGUGCAUAUAGCCCCCAUGAAUUGACUCAAGACAAUGAAGGCAUGCACACAUGAGGAAUAAACUGAUACAUUGUGUUGCACUUUGAUUCUCGAUUCAGGGCCAGGCCAAGGUAUGAAGCUCGUUAGUCCACCGCGUCAUUUCUCGAGGCUCCAGUGGCUUGCUCACACACUCGUCCGCAUCGCCCAUGUUGUCAGUUGUCACCGACUGGCUGUCUGGGCGCACUCGGUCCGGUCCGCCUUUUCGCCACCAAGCUAGUCAACGUUGCUAGCAUGAGCCACUUCCCUCGAGUGACCCAGCGUCCUGCACACUCCAUAGUUUGCAUUUUUGCCUGCGAACUCGCCGGCGUUGCAUAGAACCGAGGACGAGGAGGCGGAGUGGCAUCGUAUUGCUUACCAAUGCACGCGAAGAUUUUGGGUGCGGACGACUUGGUCCCGGCUGAGCGCUGCCACCCACAUCGGCCCCAGCACUCCCUUCUUCGACAGCAGCCCUCGAUGUGCAGGCGCCCUCCCUCGCACGCAGUUAUCCCAACCGCCCCCCUCCCCCCGCCGGCUACGGACAAAGACGCAAGCAGAAGGCAUGAAGGAAGCGGCCCGGCGGCGGCGGCAUUUACUGUGCGGAUCGGGCGGCCGCGGAGGCGUGCGCCAGAAUGAUGCGGCGGCUGGGGGGGGGGCGGGUUGAGCGGGGGGGCGGGGGGGGNNNNNNNNNNGGGGAUUGAGCGGCGGCGAAGGCGUGCGUCGGAUCGACGUGGUGGAGGCGACGCUGGCUAGAUGUGCCGAGACUGUGCGAUGCAGUUUUGUUCUUUUUUUUUUAUUUGGUCGUGUGCGCUGUUAGUUGAUUUUUCCGUUUUUAUGGAACACGUCGCACUGCGUGGAGUAUGGAGGGUAGAAGGGAGGGGGUGAACGGACGGACGGACGGACUGCUCUUUUAAUACUCCACUCUUGCGUUGCCUAGUAGAUGGGGAAGAUACAUCUAGAACAUGUUAGAACCAGCUCAGGAAUACAAGAACGAAACUCUCUUUCUCACACACAAGAACGGCUAAAGGUUGAAGAUGAACAGUGAAGUUGCAACGACGAACGCCGCGGAGCCGAUUGCUCCUGUAUCUUGGCUUUAUUACUCACUAAAGAUUAA
rnacentral:lncRNA from 1 species